CUGUUCGCCAUUUAAAGUGGUACGCGAGCUGGGUUUAGAACGUCGUGAGACAGUUCGGUCCCUAUCUGCCGUGGGCGUUGGAAGAUUGAAGGGGGCUGCUCCUAGUACGAGAGGACCGGAGUGGACGAACCUCUGGUGUUCGGGUUGUGUCGCCAGACGCAUUGCCCGGUAGCUAAGUUCGGAAUCGAUAACCGCUGAAAGCAUCUAAGCGGGAAGCGAGCCCUGAGAUGAGUCUUCCCUGAUACUUUAAGUAUCCUAAAGGGUUGUCGGAGACUACGACGUUGAUAGGUCAGGUGUGUAAGUGCUGUGAGGCAU
rnacentral:rRNA from 1 species